rnacentral:rRNA from 1 species
AGCGGACAGAUGGGAGCUUGCUCCCUGAUGUUAGCGGCGGACGGGUGAGUAACACGUGGGUAACCUGCCUGUAAGACUGGGAUAACUCCGGGAAACCGGGGCUAAUACCGGAUGGUUGUUUGAACCGCAUGGUUCAAACAUAAAAGGUGGCUUCGGCUACCACUUACAGAUGGACCCGCGGCGCAUUAGCUAGUUGGUGAGGUAACGGCUCACCAAGGCAACGAUGCGUAGCCGACCUGAGAGGGUGAUCGGCCACACUGGGACUGAGACACGGCCCAGACUCCUACGGGAGGCAGCAGUAGGGAAUCUUCCGCAAUGGACGAAAGUCUGACGGAGCAACGCCGCGUGAGUGAUGAAGGUUUUCGGAUCGUAAAGCUCUGUUGUUAGGGAAGAACAAGUACCGUUCGAAUAGGGCGGUACCUUGACGGUACCUAACCAGAAAGCCACGGCUAACUACGUGCCAGCAGCCCGCGGUAAUACGUAGGGGGGCAAGCGUUGUCCGAAUUAUUUGGGC